CCUACGUGAGGCAGCAGUGAGGAAUAUUGGUCAAUGGACGAGAGUCUGAACCAGCCAAGUAGCGUGAAGGAUGACUGCCCUAUGGGUUGUAAACUUCUUUUAUAUGGGAAUAAAAUGUUCCACGUGUGGGAUUGUGUAUGUACCAUAAGAAAAAGGAUCGGCUAACUCCGUGCCAGCAGCCGCGGUAAAACGGAGGAUACGAGCGUUAUCCGGAUUGAUUGUGUGUAAAGGGUGCGUAGGUGGAUUGUUAAGUCAGGUGUGAAAGUUUGCGGGUCAACCGUAAAAUUGCAGUUGAAACUGGCAUUCUUGAGUACAGUAGAGGUGGGCGGAAGUCGUGGUGUAGCGGUGAAAUGCUUAGAUAUCACGAAGAACUCCGAUUGCGAAGGCAGCUCACUGGCCUGCAACUGACACUGAGGCUCGAAAGUGUGGGUAUCAAACAGGAUUAGAUACCCCAGUAGUC
rnacentral:rRNA from 1 species